rnacentral:tRNA from 1 species
CAAGCUAAAGCAUUUACAUGCAACCCACUUACACUGAGAAGAAGGUCUACUAGACCUAGCUUGA